UACGUAAGGCCCGAGCGUUGUCCGGAUUCAUUGGGCGUAAAGGGUACGUAGGCGGUUAGUUAAGUUAGAAGUAAAAGGCGAUAGCUCAACUAUUGUAAGCUUUGAAAACUGUUAGACUUGAGAGAAGGAAGGGAGAGUGGAAUUCCAAGUGUAGCGGUGAAGUGCGCAGAUAUUAGGAGGAAUACCGGUGGCGAAGGCGACUUUCUGGCCAUUAUCUGACGCUGAGGUACGAAAGCGUGGGUAGCAAACAGG
rnacentral:rRNA from 1 species